AUUGAACGCUGGCGGCAGGCCUAACACAUGCAAGUCGAGCGGAUGAAGGGAGCUUGCUCCUGGAUUCAGCGGCGGACGGGUGAGUAAUGCCUAGGAAUCUGCCUGGUAGUGGGGGAUAACGUCCGGAAACGGGCGCUAAUACCGCAUACGUCCUGAUGUAGAAAGUGGGGGAUCUUCGGACCUCACGCUAUCAGAUGAGCCUAGGUCGGAUUAGCUAGUUGGUGGGGUAAAGGCCUACCAAGGCGACGAUCCGUAACUGGUCUGAGAGGAUGAUCAGUCACACUGGAACUGAGACACGGUCCAGACUCCUACGGGAGGCAGCAGUGGGGAAUAUUGGACAAUGGGCGAAAGCCUGAUCCAGCCAUGCCGCGUGUGUGAAGAAGGUCUUCGGAUUGUAAAGCACUUUAAGUUGGGAGGAAGGGCAGUAAGUUAAUACCUGGCUGUUUUGACGUUACCAACAGAAUAAGCACCGGCUAACUUCGUG
rnacentral:rRNA from 1 species